CCAGCUGGCCCUGAGCGUGUGUGUAUCAGGGAACUGAAUGAACACCCUCAGCGUGGGCUGCCUGCCGGUGGUUCAGCCCUAUAUGGGGGUGUGGCGGCGGGGGCGUUACCCGGGAGGGAGGAACGUCAGCUGGGAGCCCCUGGGAACAGGUGGGCGCGGUGGGGGGAAGGUGGAACUGGGGGAAAGCGAAGGAGAGGAAAGACCAAUUUGGCUGUGAACUUGGCAUGCUCCAGGGGGCAUGGAGAAAGAGUCAAGGGACCGUGGGAGUUAGGACCAUUUUUUCCUGGCCUCCUUCCUCUGAAGGGAAGCUCUGGUACCAACAAAAAGGAAUUAACUGCCUUUCGGAGUGACUACGAAUGAUCCAUGCCUUUGCAUGGGGCGGCUUCAGUGGGAGGUGGAGUUGAAUCCAGGAGACCCACAAUUCCUGGAAUGAGCGCGAGAACGGGGUCGGGUGAGGACUGAACAAGACUCUAACUAGGUGGCCCGACGGCUUCACAGUGCUUUGAGAAUGCGAUUUAGACAGUUUGUGGGGUAAUUUUGCAUGUGUGGGAAGGAGAUAUGGGGGGGGGGGAGAAGGUAAUGAAUCCUUACCCAUGGGGGACAGCAGAUGGGUGGUGAUAAAACCCAAAUAAUUUUUCUAAUAUUCUCCAAAUUUUGAUCAAAUAGAAUUUAUUUAAGUUUUUCAAUUACAUGAGUAAACAAUAUACAUAGUGUUUACACACUCUCCUGAUGUGACUCAAUUUAUCCCAAACCUGAAUCACACAAUUAUUAAAAAAACAAAACACCCCAAAUCCAGCAAUUGACAGUCUCACAAAAAUUCACAUAAUUCCCCACUCUGUCCUUUGAUGUAGUUUUCUUUUAUUAAAAAAAAAAAAAGACUUCUUUUCAGGGCAGUUAGGAAGCACAGUGGAUAGAGUGCUGGGUCUGGAGUUGGGUUUCAAAUCUGGCCUCAGACACCUCCUAGGUGUGACCCCGGACAAGUCACUUAACCCCAAUUGCCUACUCCUUGCUGCUCCUCUAUCCUAGAAUUCGUACCAAGACAUAAAGUAAGGAUUAAAAAAAAGAAUGGCUUCUUUUCCCCCUCUCCCUCAAUGAGCUCACGACAUUCAUUAACAGCAUUUCCCUGUGAACACAGUUGUUACAAUCUCCAUUAUUUCGAGGGGAAAUUCAGGCCUUGAUGACACCCAAGGCUCCGCUGCGCAGCUAGCAACAUCCUGAGAUAAGGGCCUGGCCGACGAGGACGGUACACAGUGUGUUGAUGUUCUAUAAAUGUCACAAGAGGUCAGAGGUCACGCAUGCUUCACACAGUGUCCCGAGGUGGACA
rnacentral:lncRNA from 1 species